UGGGGAAUAUUGGACAAUGGGCGAAAGCCUGAUCCAGCCAUGCCGCGUGUGUGAAGAAGGUCUUCGGAUUGUAAAGCACUUUAAGUUGGGAGGAAGGGUUGUAACCUAAUACGUUGCAAUUUUGACGUUACCGACAGAAUAAGCACCGGCUAACUUCGUGCCAGCAGCCGCGGUAAUACGAAGGGUGCAAGCGUUAAUCGGAAUUACUGGGCGUAAAGCGCGCGUAGGUGGUUUGUUAAGUUGGAAGUGAAAGCCCCGGGCUCAACCUGGGAACUGCUUUCAAAACUGGCAAGCUAGAGUAUGGCAGAGGGUGGUGGAAUUUCCUGUGUAGCGGUGAAAUGCGUAGAUAUAGGAAGGAACACCAGUGGCGAAGGCGACCACCUGG
rnacentral:rRNA from 1 species